rnacentral:rRNA from 1 species
UGGGGAAUAUUGGACAAUGGGCGCAAGCCUGAUCCAGCAAUGCCGCGUGGGUGAAGAAGGUCUUCGGAUUGUAAAGCCCUUUCGACGGGGACGAUGAUGACGGUACCCGUAGAAGAAGCCCCGGCUAACUUCGUGCCAGCAGCCGCGGUAAUACGAAGGGGGCUAGCGUUGCUCGGAAUGACUGGGCGUAAAGGGCGCGUAGGCGGAUCUGACAGUCAGAUGUGAAAUUCCUGGGCUCAACCUGGGGGCUGCAUUUGAUACGUGAGGUCUUGAGUCCGGAAGAGGGUGGUGGAAUUCCCAGUGUAGAGGUGAAAUUCGUAGAUAUUGGGAAGAACACCGGUGGCGAAGGCGGCCACCUGGUCCGGAACUGACGCUGAGGCGCGAAAGCGUGGGGAGCAAACAG